rnacentral:rRNA from 1 species
AUGAAUCUUCUAAGUUGGAACUGCCGGGGGGGAGGGAACUCCCGGACAGUUCGAGAUAUUGCGACGAUGGUGCAGUCGCAUUUCCCCAUGUUCGUUUUUCUGUGUGAGACUAGGCAGAAAGCUAGCAAAAUGAGAAGGAUAAGAGGACACCUAGGACUUCAAGGUUUUGAAGGAGUAGACAGCAAUGGGCUAAGCGGGGGCCUGGCCCUCUUUUGGCAUGAGUCUUGUCAAGUCGCAGUACUGUAA